GACGAACGCUGGCGGCGUGCUUAACACAUGCAAGUCGAACGGAAAGGCCCCCUUGUGGGGUACUCGAGUGGCGAACGGGUGAGUAACACGUGAGUAACCUACCCUUGACUUUGGGAUAACUUCAGGAAACUGGGGCUAAUACCGGAUAGGAGCUCCUGCUGCAUGGUGGGGGUUGGAAAGUUUCGGCGGUUGGGGAUGGACUCGCGGCUUAUCAGCUUGUUGGUGGGGUAGUGGCUCACCAAGGCUUUGACGGGUAGCCGGCCUGAGAGGGUGACCGGCCACAUUGGGACUGAGAUACGGCCCGGACUCCUACGGGAGGCAGCAGUGGGGAAUAUUGCACAAUGGGCGGAAGCCUGAUGCAGCAACGCCGCGUGCGGGAUGACGGCCUUCGGGUUGUAAACCGCUUUCGCCUGUGACGAAGCGUGAGUGACGGUAAUGGGUAAAGAAGCACCGGCUAACUACGUG
rnacentral:rRNA from 1 species